rnacentral:rRNA from 1 species
UCCGUUGGUGAACCAGCGGAGGGAUCAUUAUAGAGUUAUAAAAACUCCAAACCCGUGUAAACGUACCAAUUGUUGCCUCGGUCGGCUGUGCUUACCCUGUAGCGACUUACCCUGUAGCCACCUACCCUGUAGACAGCUACCCUGUAAGGACCUACCCUGUAGCCACGUCCAAGGCCGGCCGACGGCCCCCGAACUCUAGUUAUAUACUUGACUUCUGAAAACGCAACUUAAUAAGUUAAAACUUUCAACAACGGAUCUCUUGGUUCUGGCAUCGAUGAAGAACGCAGCGAAAUGCGAUAAGUAAUGUGAAUUGCAGAAUUCAGUGAAUCAUCGAAUCUUUGAACGCACAUUGCGCCCAUUAGCAUUCUAAUGGGCAUGCCUGUUCGAGCGUCAUUUCGACCCUUAAGCCCUGCUGCUUAGUGUUGGGAGCCUACUUACCCUGUAGCUCCUCAAAGUUAGUGGCGGAGUUGGGUUACACUCUAGGCGUAGUAAUAUUUUCUCGCCUCUGUAGUUGUCCCGGUUCCUGCCGUAAAACACCUAUAUUUAUCUAGGUUGACCUCGGAUCA